GAAAUCAAAGGAGAACUAAACGCUGGAUCUUCAGUACACGGGAAGGGUAGGAUUCACUCCCAGAGGUCGAAGAACAGAGAGGAGAGAAUUCUCCCACAUGCCCCACCCUUCUGGGGCCUUCCUGACCCCACUCUGCCCUCCUCCUAGCUCCGCCUCUGCCAGCUACUUUGGGGGACUAGGUUGGGAUUCUCCACUUUUACCGAAGGCCUUCCAUGUGUCUAACUGCAGUUCUCUCUGUUGCAAGUUAAGCCGGAACUGAAAGACCAGAAACCAGCCUGCCCUAGUCAAAGAAAGUUAGGGCCCAACCAGCCUCUCCCCAAGAAGCAGGGUAAGGUGGGGCAUUCAUCUCUCUGGACCCUUUUCCCCAGCCUGAGCCAGCCUUUGGCUUUUCCAAGACCCUUCUUCAUUCCAGCGCCCCCUCUACUCCUAUCCAGUGAUAUCUUCCAGAUUUUCAGAAAUAAUUUUUUAGAUACACAGAAACAAACAUUUCUACCAGGAUCUAAAAAUAGCCAUCACCUUCUUUAGCCCAUUUAACUUGACGAAAUGUGUCCCUCCCAUUUCAGGGGUAGGGAGGAGGUCCCAGGGAAGAACCUGGUUGCCAAAGUCUCGGCCAGUUGGAGAAGAGAUGGGUCUCCCGAGGAUACCCAAGCCCAAGCUCUACACUGUCCCAAGCCUCAACUCCCGACCCAUGGCCUGUGGUGAGAGGUGCUAACAACAUGACCUGCUUUCAUCUUGACCUUCCCAGCCCACCCAGAGAAAAGGGAAUCUUGGCUAAAAAAAGGCUGGAAGAGGGGAGAACCCUGGCACUGCGGGUGGGGCUGGGAGGAGCCCAGGCAACCUUACUGGUGAGAAUCUCAUGGCUCUUCAAGGUGAAUAUGAUGAUGAUUUCCCUGGGGUUUCUUUCAAUACUCAGAAGCCGCCCCGAGUUGGAAAGCACAUGCAUACUUGGGGAGGCCAGGGGAGGAAAAGGGGGGCGGCUCACUCUGACAGUAAAUGAAGAAAGUGGAAACAAAUUCAAGGAGCAGGCAGAGCUCCCGGUUUCACCAGAGCCCAACGGUUGGUAAUAAGGAUGAGAACAAUGUGCCUUCACUUCCUGGGAUCAGAACAGCACAUGGCCGCACAUGUACGGGUAUGCAUGUGCUUCCAUAAUCAUAUACUUUCCCAGCUUCUACUCUGCCUGUGGUCUAAUUUCAACUCCUUCAGCUGCUGUACCCACCCAUAAAAUUAUGAGUGUAAAAGCACUUUGCAAACCCUGAUACUCUAUGAAGAAGUAAAAAGUAGUGCUGUAAUUAUUAUCAUUAUUAUGUCCAAUGGUUGAGGUUUCCGCUGCCCACCUGUCAGCUAUGUGAGGCCUAAAGAGAGGGAGGGCUAGGCCAUUCCUCAGCUUCUGAGGUUCCUGGCCCUUUUCCCCUUCCAUCUGUCCACAGCUGACUGCUAAGCUGGAUGCGUAGGGGAAAGCAGAGAAAAGGUGAUUUACUGGGACACAGAGACACAGGCUGGAAGAGAUAGCAUGUGUUUCCUUAAAAUUUGAAGCAUUUGGCUGGGCACAGUGGCUCACACCUGUAAUCCCUGCACUUUGGGAGGUAAAGGCAAGAGGAUUUCCUGGGCCCAAGAGUUAGAGGCUGCAGUGAGCUAUGAUUGUGCCAUUGUACUCCAGCCUGGGAGACAGAAACCCCCUCUCUUAAAAAAAUAAAAAAAUAAAAAAUGGAACCAUUGCUCUGAGUUUCUAAUAGGGGGAGU
rnacentral:lncRNA from 10 species